GAAUGUGGGUCUCCUGUCUUCCAGGUUAGUAGCUGUUCUGGGGCAGUGAAGUUAGUGUUUCACUUGUCUUGCAUGAAUUUUUGGUAGACUCUUUGUCUACAAAAUAUUUUGCUCAAAAAAGAAUGAAAUAAUUUUUAAGACUCAAAAAAUCCCCAUUUUGUAGUAUGGGAAAAAUAUCUAAGACCUUGUUUUCUUAAGGAUAUAAGCUUUUUUUUUUUUUUUUUCUCAGAUUCUUUGUGAUGGUCAGCAAGUCAUCUCUCACUGCUUUAAUUCUUUUUCUAAGAUCUGUUGCUAUUCUCCUGCCUCAUAUUAUCUGUAUGGACACUAUUCCUAUAAAAAUUCCUGACUGUAUGUUGAACACAGACCAGUGUUAAAGGGGGCAUCUCCCCAGGCUGGCAUGAGAAUCAGAGCUGUGGCAUCAGACAGGAAUGUCUCACCUACUGUUGCUGGGGUGCAGAGCCUUCAGAUGCUCCUCAAAAAGAAGCCAGUCCUUUCCCAAGAUCUCAGUGUAUAGAAGUUAUAGAAACAAGUUGGAGUUCUGUCUGCAAAAGUAGAAGCUGGUAUUUUGUUGAAGUAAAUCAGAACUUUGCCACUGACUUCUCUGUGACUGUGUCUCAGCUGUGAAAACAGCAAGUAUUGGGCCAGUUUGCACAAAAUGCUCAGCACCCUGCAUGAUCUUUUCUACAGAAAAUGACUGCUUUUUAACUCAGGAGGUGUGCAGUUCCUUAUGCUGACAUGACUGGCACCUUUCUGAGAAGUCCUUGCCACUACUGACCUGAUUUUAAGGUAUAAAUAUAAACAUGUAUCACCUGGACCAGACCUCACUACUAGGAGCUGACUCAGACUGUAUGGCAGGUUUGAAAAGAAAACCUUUUAUCUAAACAAGAGGCUCCUGAAUCUGCUUGUUCUCCUGCGGUUUUCAUCAAUGAUCCUGAAGGAAAAUACCAGCGGACGCAUAUCACCAAUAGCAAGAAAAUACUAUUUAAAGCUAUUUACCUUCCUAUGUAUUUUUGUUAUGUUCUGUUUCUUUUAUUUGAUUAGUUGGUUGCCAGAAAAAAAGAUGACAUGCUAAUUACUUUUGUAAUUGUUACACCAGUAUAGUGCUGACAGUCAAUAUUACUGUGGUCUGCAGUCAGAUAUCUGUAUUGUUACAUAUUACUAUGCAUCAGUGAUUCUUGAUGAUAUAUGAAGUGAAUAUUACUGGGUUUUUUCAACUUCCUAAGGAGGGCUGGAAGCACCCUGAGAAUGUGAGUGCUAAUUAUAUAGACCACAGAGACAAUUUUUUUCUCUUUGCUGAAAUAUAUACAUUAGAAAACAUAGAAACCAGAAAACCUUGGAUGAUCAAUAGUAGCUCUGUUUAGUGUUUAAAAAAGCUUCUGGAGAGUAUUAUGUAUUGCUGAAACUUAUGUAAGAAAAGACAUUAAAAUUCCUCUGUUCUGUGGGA